rnacentral:rRNA from 1 species
UAAGGAAUAUUGGUCAAUGGAGGCAACUCUGAACCAGCCAUGCCGCGUGCAGGAAGAAGGCCCUAUGGGUCGUAAACUGCUUUUAUACGGGAGAAAACCUGGGUACGUGUACCCAGUUGAUAGUACUGUAAGAAUAAGGAUCGGCUAACUUCGUGCCAGCAGCCGCGGUAAGACGAAGGAUCCAAGCGUUAUCCGGAUUCAUUGGGUUUAAAGGGUGCGUAGGCGGACUUAUAAGUCAGUGGUGAAAGCCGAUAGCUUAACUAUCGAACUGCCAUUGAUACUGUAGGUCUAGAGUAUAGAUGAUGUUGGCGGAAUAUGACAUGUAGCGGUGAAAUGCAUAGAUAUGUCAUAGAACACCGAUUGUGAAGGCAGCUGACAAAACUAUAACUGACGCUGAUGCACGAAAGUGCGGGGAUCAAACAG